UCCGAAGGGGGCAGGCGUUGUUCGGAAUUACUGGGCGUAAAGGGCGCGUAGGCGGCUUAUCAAGUCAGGCGUGAAAUUCCCGGGCUCAACCUGGGGGCUGCGCUUGAUACUGAUUGGCUUGAAUGCGGGAGAGGAUAGUGGAAUUCCCAGUGUAGAGGUGAAAUUCGUAGAUAUUGGGAAGAACACCGGUGGCGAAGGCGGCUAUCUGGCCCGUAAUUGACGCUGAGGCGCGAAAGCGUGGGGAGCAAACAGG
rnacentral:rRNA from 1 species